UUCGGCAACACGUAUACUAAAAAAUAAAAUAAAAUGGAACAAUACAGAGAAGAUUAGCAUGGCCCCGGUGCAAGGAUGAUAACGCAAAUGCAUGAAACGUUGCAUAAAAAA